AGGUGUCACUGCCAAGGGAUGCCCCAGUGCCACCCUGCAGGUGUCACUGCUAAGGGUACCCCAGUGCCACCCUGCAGGUGUCACUGCCGAGGGAUGCCCCAGUGCCACCCUGCAGGUUUCACUGCUGAGGGAUGCCCCAGUGCCACCCUGCAGGUGUCACUGCUGAGGGAUCCUCCAGUGCCAC